CACCAACGUUGUAACAGAAAGCUGUUUCAGUCAGCACAUCUACUUUUCCAUCUUAGUAUAAAAUUGGAAGGAAAGAACAUACCUGAAGUGGGUGCCAGUGGCUAAAUGGAAACUCUUUAUACAGUGAAACAGGAGGAAAGAAAAAUGCAGCAAUAAAGAUAAAUAAGCCUCAGAGAUCAAAUUGGAGUACAAAUCAGUGCUUCAGAAAUUUUUUCUCCAAUAUGUUUUCUUCUGUUAGCCACUCUGGAGAAUCUUCCUUUACCUAUAGAGCUUAUUGUACAGAAUUUAUAGAAGCCAGUGAAAUCAGUGCAUUGAUUAGGCAGAAGAGACAUGAACUGGAAUUGUCAUGGUUUCCUGAUACAUUACCUGGAAUUGGAAGAAUUGGUUUUAUACCCUGGAAUGUUGAAACAGAAGUCCUUCCUCUCAUUUCUUCUGUGUUGCCAAGAACUAUUUUUCCAACAAGUACCAUAUCUUUCGAACAUUUUGGUACUUCUUGCAAGGGAUAUGCAUUAGCACAUACUCAAGAAGGGGAAGAAAAGAAGCAAACUUCUGGUACAUCAAA
rnacentral:lncRNA from 1 species